GUGGGGAAUCUUCCGCAAUGGACGAAAGUCUGACGGAGCGACGCCGCGUGAGUGAAGAAGGCCUUCGGGUCGUAAAGCUCUGUCAUCAGGGACGAACGGCCGGUGGAGUGGAAAGCCAUCGGAUUGACGGUACCUGAGAAGGAAGCCACGGCUAACUACGUGCCAGCAGCCGCGGUAAUACGUAGGUGGCAAGCGUUGUCCGGAAUUAUUGGGCGUAAAGCGCGCGCAGGUGGGAUCUUAAGUCCAUUUUUAAAGUUCGGAGCUCAACUCCGUGAUGGGAUGGAAACUGGGAUUCUUGAGUACCGGAGAGGAAAGCGGAAUUCCCCGUGUAGCGGUGAAAUGCGUAGAUAUGGGGAGGAACACCAGUGGCGAAGGCGGCUUUCUGGACGGUGUCUGACACUGAGGCGCGAAAGCCAGGGGAGCGAACGGGAUUAGAUACCCGAGUAGUCC
rnacentral:rRNA from 1 species